UACGAAGGGGGCUAGCGUUGCUCGGAAUCACUGGGCGUAAAGCGCACGUAGGCGGAUUGCUAAGUCAGGGGUGAAAUCCUGGAGCUCAACUCCAGAACUGCCUUUGAUACUGGCGAUCUUGAGUCCGGGAGAGGUGAGUGGAACUGCGAGUGUAGAGGUGAAAUUCGUAGAUAUUGGGAGGAACACCGGUGGCGAAGGCGACCACCUGGACGAAGACUGACGCUGAGGCGCGAAAGCGUGGGGAGCAAACAGG
rnacentral:rRNA from 1 species